GACAGGCGGGUGGCACCGAGGCUUUGGGGACCCGCAGGUAGUCCCGACGGCGCGGUGAGCUCGUAGAUCCUGGGCUGGAGCUCGGUGAGUGUUUUAGCGAGUGUUUGGGGUCAUCCCUGCCAUAUCCCUCUGAAACGCACCGUGUUAGUCCCUGCUGCCGCUCAUGACCACCUUCUGAUGAGUUCCGAGGUAGGAAAAUUGCCAAAUAUAACCCCUCAGCAGCAUUUAGACCCCUCGAGAUGAGAGCCCACCACAAGCAAUCCAGUUUGCCAGUUUUACGCUGUUAUUUUUUACAUAUCCUUCUCCCCUCUGCCGAUGGCAGUGUGGCUUUUUUAAACUGUAUUCUUUCUGCAUUUGUUUCUGCUAAAAGAUUCUGGGCGUUUUGGGGUCCCCAUAGCACGAGCAGGCCGUGCUGAGCUGCCAGCCCCACAGAUGUGUCCGGUCCUGCUUUGGGCUCCUGCUUCUGGGACCACUGCACCCCACCGUGUCUUCCCCUCCAAGGCCCAAUCCCUUAAAUAGCUGGUUUUCACUACGCUUUUUGUUUUUUCCUUGUUUUACGGCUUAUUGGCAUCUUAUGAAUGUGUUUAUUUUACUCUAUAUUAGCGCUUGAAAUUACUAACCGCAGACAGAAAAUAGAUCUUCGUCCUUGCAUCAGUUCUCUCCUGUGAUCAAUGUUCAGCGUAGUGGGGGCUGUGAGGUAGACGCGUUAGGAGAACUGGGGAUAAUUGUGGGAUAAUCCUGUGUGAUAUCAGCUCACGUUCGUUACUCGGGGGUAAAUAGGAGUGCUUGUUACGCAGGAGUACUUACUUACAGGCACACAAGUUCCCUGCAUCUUCGGUGCCUAACCUUGCAUCCCCCUGGACUCUGCAGGGAAGGGCACUGCGUGGCUCGAUGCUGCCCGAACCAAGGGAAGUUAGGGACAAUUACAAGAUAUUUCCAUGGAAUACGUCCUUAUGCUGACGUGCAUACAUGUGAUUAGGAUUUUGUGCUGUAUUUUCCAGCUGAGGCUUUAAAAAGCAUUUUAUAAAGUGCUUGUCUGUGAGGGAGUUCAUUUAUCAAUUCGGUUGUCCCUCUUGUCCUGUGUCCCACUGAGAUGUGCCUCCCGCUCUCCUGGCGUAAAAUAAAGCAUGCUCUACUUGAGUAGCCGUACAAAAGCAGAUCGUAUCUAUACCACAGCAGUUUUCUCAAGAAAAAUUUACACUGACAUCAAAUCUGGUAGAAAAUGGGGCAUGCAGACCUCUGGAAGGAGCUUGCCUGAAGGCUCAGCGCUGGUCACUGAAGUGGUUCCAACCACAGGAGCUUCCUUUGGUCUGAGACUUCAAUUUCUAAGUGGAUGAGACUUUCUGCGGCAAUCUGUGCAACGUAGACAAACAGAAAGUCGCGGUUCUUUUCUUAGCAACGUUAGAGCCACUGGGUCAAGCUGAAUAUUGCAUCUGUUCAAUAAUUCCAUGUUCUACAUUUCACACAGUGAGUUUUUAAAUAAACUCUCCGCUUUAUAGUUCGUGCCAGUGACUCAUUCAGUCAGUCUGAAUUAGUCUUAAUUUAUUGCAAAUUGAAGACCAUGAAACUAACUUUCAGGAGGGGAGGGAGGGCGGUUUGAUAUUUGCUUUUGGGGGCAUUUUUACAGAUAGGUUUAGUGUAUGGCCUAAACCAGCAUUUUAAGUCUUUAUCUUGCAGUGAAAACUUACAGGGUGGGCUUGAUAUCUGCAGAGAGCUAAAAAUGACUUCAUCAGAAAUGAUCUGAUAGAAUAAAAAAAUCAUUUGAACUGUGCCACAUCAAUGCGCUCCUCGCUCUUCUGGAUUUUUGGCAAAAAGUUUAAGUACUCUUAAAGGGUAAUUAAGUAAGCUUCUCACCCGUCAUGCUUCUCCAGGAAAGCUGCCCCAGACUUUCCAUCCCUCUGGCAAUCAGGGAUUUUGUUUCUAGACUGUGCACAUUCAGCUUACACCCUCACAUUGUCACACCGGUGUUGCCUUUUAAAGUUAAAUAGCAUUUCACACUUGGGUGUUUCUGUCCCAGACAGACUGACAGUGAAUGGCUGUGUGACUUCAGCAGACUUAAAACCAGCGGCCUUCCAGCCCUCCCUGCAGAAACCAGCUCUCCUCCCAGGGCUGCUGAUGGUGGCCCCGUUUUUGGGGACCAUCUUGUAACUCCCACUGCUGAAUGAAAGAAAACCCUCCAGGUAGGGCUAGAAAGCUCCUGCUCCAGCAGCCCAGGUGAGACAACUUACUGUACACACUGCAGGACCUUUUGCAAGUCACUUUCUUCUUCCCAUUAAAAAAAAUAAAAAAGCUUGUUUCAUUGCUAGACAUAGCCAAGGAAGUGAGAAGAGAUGUCCUGUUCAGGUAGGCGUGCUGCAGGGAUUGUUGCUUUGCCCGCAAUACGUUUAUUUACAGUGGGUGCCUCGAUUCAUUGCCCACAUUCAUUUAUUUACUCUGGGUGCUGCUCUUGGGGCCGUGGGUCGUGGGCAUCGCCUGCUGCGGGAGGUGCCACCGGCACCACCUUCCUCCUGUGAGGAGAAACUUCUGCCAGUGCUAAAAAGGAGACAAACACACAGGAGAAGGGAUGUCCAUACAAACAGGACGGGCCAUACCUUCCCUCUCUGAAUUUUACUUCUGAAGAUCUGAAACUCCUCAGAAGUUUUUUUUUUUCUACAUGCUUGACUUUAGCUCAUAGAAAGCAAGCCCGCUCAGCAGGCCCUUCACUCUCUGCAUCUUUCUCUUGUGCUCAGGCCUCGUCACAGACCACAGAGGCUCGAGCCUAUUUAUUCUCCUCGCCCAUCUACCCAAGGCAGAGAGUGGGGAAAGCACGUUCAGCCUUCAAGAUAACUUAUUUAUAACCCGCCAGCAGUGAGCUGGACACCGCGGGGCCAUGGCGCAGCUGGAGCUGCUGUGGGCGGCCGCUGCACUGAUGCUGCUCGGGGCGGCCGUCAGCGCCUGUGUCAGGUGCCAGCUCUCCGCUACGAAGCGAGAAAAGAAGCAGAGCAAGCAGACAAGUCAGCUCGGAAGCCAGCAGAGCUUUGAGGUCAUUCGGUCCCACUCCAUGCUAGCUGUAACACGAAGGCUAGACCAGAUUAAGGAACCUGAAAACUUCACAAUAACAAGGAAAGCCCAUGAGGAGCUCGGUGCCUCCUGUCCCCUUGGCUUUGAGAGCAGGACCGAGCCCCGGUACCAGAACUUCCUGACAGAGGACUACGUCUGUGAGGAUGCUGCCUACGUGGAGCCCAUCUCUGUGGAUUUCUACGAGCAUGCCAAGUGCUUCACCUCACCCUACGCCAAAGAGGAGGAUUCCCAUUCCUACCAGAAUGUCUUCAUUGGGGACGCCUGUGGCUCCGAGCUGGGUACGUGCAGCGCUUUGUGUCGAGAUUCAUCGCGGUUUAGCACCCAGCUCGGGUUGCUCAUCACUGCCAGCACAAGGUGCUGGACCACAGGGGCUUUGAGCUUCUGUCCUGGGCUGUCACAAUUGAAAAAUGAAGCUGUUUUGCUUUCCUUUGGUGCUACGCACACCGUUCUGUUUGGAGUGAUGAGGGGAGGCAGGAGCGUGGGGCUGCCCCGAGCCCGUCCGUGCCUGCAGAAACCAGGGCUGGGAGGUGACUGAGGCAGUGUCACCAGCCUGUGGUGGGACGGUGGCACUGGGAGGGGGUUCCCAGGGCUCGCUUUUAGCCCACUCACUGUUCAGCAUCGUCCUGUCCAAACUCUGCUUACUCACAGAUGACGUGGAUGACUACGAGAACAGCUCGGCCAUACACGCGUGGAAAAUCGAGCAAACUUCAGCGCUGUACAUAGAGAGCCAGGACGAGGAGCCGGACUAUGUUAACACUGACCCCGCGUCGGACCUCACCCUGCUGUCAAAGCA